UGCCAGCAGCCGCGGUAAUACGGAGGGGGUUAGCGUUGUUCGGAAUUACUGGGCGUAAAGCGUACGUAGGCGGAUUGGAAAGUAGGGGGUGAAAUCCCGGGGCUCAACCGUGAAACGGCCUCCUAAACUGCAGUGCUCGAGCACGGUAGAGGCAGAUGGAAUUCCCGGUGUAGCGGUGGAAUGCGUAGAUAUCGGGAAGAACACCAGUGGCGAAGGCGGUCUGCUGGGCCGUUGCUGACGCUGAGGCGCGACAGCGUGGGGAGCAAACAGGAUUAGAUA
rnacentral:rRNA from 1 species